CGUCCCACCCCAGAGCUUGCUAUAUAGUAGGAGACAUGCAAAUAGGAUCCUCUCUCUGCUGAUAAAAUCCAGCCCAGCCCUGACCCUGCAGCUCCGAGAGCAGAGUCCAGCCCCCGAAUUCUCAGGUGUUUUCAUUCGGUGAUCAGCACCAAACACAGAAGACUCACCAUGGAGUUUGUGCUGAGCUGGGUUUUCCUUGUUGCUAUUUUAAAAGGUGUCCAGUGUGAGGUGCAGCUGGUGGAGUCUGGGGGAGGUUUGGUCCAGCCUGGGGGGGUCCCUGAAACUCUCCUGUGCAGCCUCUGGAUUCACCUUCAGUGACCACUACAUGGACUGGGUCCGCCAGGCUCCAGGGAAGGGGCUGGAGUGGGUUGGCCGUAUUAGAAACAAAGCUAACAGUCACACGACAGAAUACGCCGCGUCUGUGAAAGACAGAUUCACCAUCUCCAGAGAUGAUUCAAAGAACACACUGUACCUGCAAAUGAGCGGCCUGAAAACCGAGGACACGGCCGUGUAUUACUGUGCUAGAGACACAGGUGAUUAUUACUGGCUCAGGCAGGGGUCAGAAAUCAAGACGGAUAUGUG